rnacentral:rRNA from 1 species
ACUCCUACGGGAGGCAGCAGUGGGGAAUAUUGGACAAUGGGCGAAAGACCUGAUCCAGCCAUGCCGCGUGUGUGAAGAAGGUCUUCGGAUUGUAAAGCACUUUAAGUUGGGUAGGAAGGGUUAGGUUAGAUUAAUACUCUGCAAUUUUGACGUUACCGACAGAAUAAGCACCGGCUAACUCUGUGCCAGCAGCCGCGGUAAUACAGAGGGUGCAAGCGUUAAUCGGAAUUACUGGGCGUAAAGCGCGCGUAGGUGGUUUUGUUAAGUUGGAUGUGAAAUCCCCGGGGCUCAACCUGGGAACUGCAUCCAAAACUGGCAAGCUAGAGUAUGGUAGAGGGUGGUGGAAUUUCCUGUGUAGCGGUGAAAUGCGUAGAUAUAGGAAGGAACACCAGU